UUCAAAAAGGGCAUUGUCUUUUCGCUUUUGCCUCGAUUUCCACUUAUUUGACUAUACCCUUGCAUUCAACGUUAUUACUGAAAGCAGAUAAAUGCAAAUGCAUUUUGUUAAUUACUGCAAGUACAUUUUGUUUUUCCACCUUGUUUUUGCAUACAAAGCUGUAUAAUGUCUAUUCACAUAGUUUCCACCGAUGACCAGAAAGAGGUGAAGUAUGUCGAGUUUCUGAAGCUAAUAAUUUUGAGCUAGUUAUCUGACAGCCUUAUCUUGGAUUGAAAAUAGUAUGAGCAAGAAACAUUUUUAGCAAAUAUAAAUCCUGUUUCAACUUCUUUUUUCUGAAUGAAUAGUGAAAAUCCGGAGUAGCAGGUGAAAUAUAGAUUGUAUCCAUAACAAGAAGACCAGGAUUAACACAUUCAGGCACGACCGUUUGGAUGUAUUAGAAAAGACAGAAUAAACAUUCAUAACGUGUUUCUGUUGUGCCCCAAAAUAUUACAGCUGAGACUAGCAACAGCAAAGACUCUGGAACCUGAGUCCUUAUCUUGAAUCAUCAAUUUCUUUUCCUUGGUUAAACUGAAGAAUCUUUCUUGGGACUAUGUGAGGUAAAAGAUUAUGCUCCUGUUGUUUGUGUGGAGAGCUUAGGAUGUGAAACAAACCCCUGAACAUAUGGACCAGCAUUGGCAGUCUACAUAGGUAGAUUUUAGAGCUUUAAUGUAGAUUUAGAGCUUUUAGGGCCAAGGCAAUUUCGGGAGAACUGAGGUACAGGCAAUGCUUAUGCCUGUGGGAAUGUCAUUGAUAUAGAUGCUAAAGUUGCUUCUUGCCCCUCUUGUAUUACUAUGGUUUACCUCACUUAGGUAAAAUCCACCUGUCAUUAUUCUGGUGCACUUUCAAUCACGUUUAUUAGUAUCAUUAUCUUCA